rnacentral:rRNA from 1 species
UACGUAGGGCGCAAGCGUUAUCCGGAAUUAUUGGGCGUAAAGAGCUCGUAGGCGGCUUGUUGCGUCGACUGUGAAAACCCGCGGCUUAACUGCGGGCUUGCAGUUGAUACGGGCAGGCUAGAGUUCGGUAGGGGAGACUGGAAUUCCUGGUGUAGCGGUGAAAUGCGCAGAUAUCAGGAGGAACACCGGUGGCGAAGGCGGGUCUCUGGGCCGAUAUGUCGCUGAGGAGCGAAAGCGUGGGGAGCAACAGG